CUGAUUCCGGAGAAGGAGCCUGAGAAACGGCUACUACUUCCAAGGAAGGCAGCAGGCGCGCAAAUUACCCAAUCCCGACACGGGGAGGUAGUGACAAAAAAUAACAAUACCGGUCUUAUAUAAGUCUGGUAAUUGGAAUGAGUACAAUCUAAACCCCUUAACGAGUAUCAAUUGGAGGGCAAGUCUGGUGCCAGCAGCCGCGGUAAUUCCAGCUCCAAUAGCAUAUAUUAAAGUUGUUGCAGUUAAAAAGCUCGUAGUUGGAUUUUAGAGUUUAUUCAGUAGAGUCCGCUUGAAAAGAGUGUGUAUUUUAUUGGUAACUCUCCUUACUAGAUAUUCACGAUUAUUCUUAACUGAAUGGUUGGUCUAUUCGAAAGAGUAGGUGCUUGGUGGGUCUGGGGGUUAAGAUGUGGUUUUUUUACGGGGCAACCUGUGGAGAAAUCUGCUUAAUUCACUUCUAUUAAGUAGAAUUCUAGUUCAUUUACUUUGAGUAAAUUAGAGUGUUCAAAGCAACGUACAAUUUUGUAAUGAAUACUAUUAGCAUGGGAUAAUGGAACAGGACGUUGGUUCUAUCUUAUUGGUUUCUAGAACUAAUGUAAUGAUUAAAAGGGAUAGUUGGGGGCAUUAGUAUUUAAUUGUCAGAGGUGAAAUUCUUGGAUUUAUGAAAGACUAACUUCUGCGAAAGCAUUUGUCAAGGAUGUUUUCAUUAAUCAAGAACGAAAGUUAGGGGAUCGAAGACGAUCAGAUACCGUCGUAGUCUUAACCAUAAACUAUGCCGACCAGGGAUUGGAAGACGUUAAUUUAAAAAAUAGGACUCCUCCAGCACCUUACGAGAAAUCACAAGUUUUUGGGUUCUGGGGGGAGUAUGGUCGCAAGGCUGAAACUUAAAGGAAUUGACGGAAGGGCACCACCAGGAGUGGAGCCUGCGGCUUAAUUUGACCCAACACGGGAAAACUUACCAGGUCCAGACACAGUUAGGAUUGACAGAUUGAGAGCUCUUUCUUGAUUCUGUGGGUGGUGGUGCAUGGCCGUUCUUAGUUGGUGGAGUGAUUUGUCUGGUUAAUUCCGAUAACGAACGAGACCUCAGCCUGCUAAUUAGUUAUAUAAAUUAAUACGAUUAUGAGGGUUUGUUAUGGAGCUAUUUCGCAAGAGGUGGAUUUAUAAUGAAAACUUGUUUUAAUUUAUAGAAACUUCUUAGAGGGACACUUGGUGUCUAACCAAGGGAAGUUUGAGGCAAUAACAGGUCUGUGAUGCCCUUUAGAUGUUCUGGGCUGCACGCGCGCUACACUGAUAUAAUCAACAAGUAUCAAAAACCUUUGCAGAAAUGUAUGGGUAAACUUUUGAAAUUAUAUCGUGCUGGGGAUCGAUAAUUGUAAUUAUUUAUCGUCAACGAGGAAUUCCUAGUAAGCGCAAGUCAUCAGCUUGCGUUGAUUACGUCCCUGCCCUUUGUACACACCGCCCGUCGCUCCUACCGAUGAAUGGUCCGGUGAAAUCUUAAGAUUGAAAGCAUA
rnacentral:rRNA from 1 species